UACGGAGGGUGCGAGCGUUGUCCGGAAUCAUUGGGCGUAAAGGGCGCGUAGGUGGCCCGGUCAGCGUGCGGUGAAAGCUCGGGGCUCAACCCCGAGUCGGCCGUGCGAACUGCUGGGCUGGAGCACUGUAGAGGCAGGCGAAAUUCCGGGUGUAGCGGUGGAAUGCGUAGAGAUCCGGAAGAACACCGGUGGCGAAGGCGGCCUGCUGGGCAGUGGCUGACACUGAGGCGCGACAGCGUGGGGAGCAAACAGG
rnacentral:rRNA from 1 species